UCUCGUUUAAAAAUGCAAAUUUCCAAGCUCCCCUAUCCUGUUACCAAAUCAGAACCAGAGGCCGGAAUCUGCAUGCGAAACCAGCCCCCAAGGUGACUGUUCCCGCACUGUUCCGCACGGGUUCGAGAGCCUCGGAUUUCAUCCAGCCCCCGCCCUUUACAGAGAGGUAGAAAAAACGGGCAAAAGAGAGGUGAAACGGGCUAGUCCGAAGUCACAUGGCCUUAAGGUGCCCAGACCCGGACGGAAGCGCGCCUCUCUCGCCAACUUGUAAAGAAGCACCAGGGAGAUAUUUGCGGAAUCCCCGACAGGAACAUACUGCGUGAACUCAGACACAAGUGGUGUAACCCGACUCCACGCCAGGGCUCGGCUGUCACCCUCCUGGAGUCUCCCAGGCCCAACUGUAGGCAGUUAACAGCUUCUUGGAAAAAAGAGGGGACUGACCCCCAGAAGCUUCCAGGUGAAACACAUAAACUUCAUGAGAAAGCUGGGAUUUUAGCCUGCUUCGUUCACUGUUGCAUCUCCAGUUCCCAGAGUGGUGCCUGAAACACAAAACAGUCCUGCCAAAGGUGUUCACCAAUGAGAAUGCUGUCACUUGUUGAAGAAUCUCAGAGUGCCCACCUGCUCCCCUGGAACCCUAAAAGAUAAUGAGAGUCGACCUGCUCAGACUGAGAGCUCUGGCUGCCUUGUGCUGUGGGAAGAAAUAAGUGAGCAUAAAGGACACCAUGUUUCUAAGACAAAAGCAGUAACGAAGACCCAAGAAUGAUGUCCAAUAGACCGUUUAACCUAUAACUUCACUAAUUGUCAUGUGUUCAACACAGCCCCAUGGGAGGGGCACACAAGCGUUUGGGGAGUAUCUCCCACUCUUCAGCACCCAGAGAAAUACAACCCAACUGAGUGGCACUGGGGGACAGGGGUAGACAAGAAGAGAUGAGGUAAGGGGAAGAGAGGGAUGGUUUGCUUUACAUGUACGUACGUGUUUUAUUUCUAAUACAUCUGUGUGUCUGGAAGUCUCUAUGCUAUUCUGAUAAAAUCUGAGUUGCAUGAAUAAAAAGUUUAAUUCCUGGC